rnacentral:rRNA from 1 species
ACCUCGGAUCAGGUAGGGAUACCCGCUGAACUUAAGCAUAUCAAUAAGCGGAGGAAAAGAAACCAACAGGGAUUACCUCAGUAACGGCGAGUGAAGCGGUAACAGCUCAAAUUUGAAAGCUGGCUCUUUUAGGGUCCGCGUUGUAAUUUGUAGAAGAUGCUUCGGGUGUGGCCCCGGUCUAAGUUCCUUGGAACAGGACGUCAUAGAGGGUGAGAAUCCCGUAUGUGACUGGGUGCUUUCGCUCAUGUGAAGCUCUUUCGACGAGUCGAGUUGUUUGGGAAUGCAGCUCAAAAUGGGUGGUAAAUUUCAUCUAAAGCUAAAUAUUGGCCAGAGACCGAUAGCGCACAAGUAGAGUGAUCGAAAGAUGAAAAGCACUUUGGAAAGAGAGUUAAACAGUACGUGAAAUUGUUGAAAGGGAAGCGCUUGCAACCAGACUUGCGCGCUGAUGAUCAUCCGGGCUUCUGCCCGGUGCACUCGUCUGCGCUCAGGCCAGCAUCGGUUUCGGUGGUGGGAUAAAGGCCUUGGGAAUGUGGCUCCUCUCGGGGAGUGUUAUAGCCCUCGGUGCAAUGCCGCCAACCGGGACCGAGGANC